CAGGGAAUAGUUUUAUUAAAAUGUUAAUUUUGGGAAUUAAUGAUAAGGAUAAUUAUGUUCUUUUCUCUGA
rnacentral:tRNA from 1 species